rnacentral:rRNA from 1 species
ACGGAAGGCAGCAGUGGGGAAUAUUGCACAAUGGGGGAAACCCUGAUGCAGCGACGCCGCGUGGGUGAUGAAGUAUUUCGGUACGUAAAGCCCUAUCAGCAGGGAAGAUAAUGACGGUACCUGACUAAGAAGCUCCGGCUAAAUACGUGCCAGCAGCCGCGGUAAUACGUAUGGAGCAAGCGUUAUCCGGAUUUGCUGGGUGUAAAGGGAGCGUAGACGGCAAAGCAAGUCUGAAGUGAAAUCCCGGGGCUCAACCCCGGAACUGCUUUGGAAACUGUUUAGCUAGAGUGCAGGAGAGGUAAGCGGAAUUCCUAGUGUAGCGGUGAAAUGCGUAGAUAUUAGGAGGAACACCAGUGGCGAAGGCGGCUUACUGGACUGUAACUGACGUUGAGGCUCGAAAGCGUGGGGAGCAAACAGGAUUAGAUACCCUGGUA